rnacentral:rRNA from 1 species
GUAGGGAAUAUUGGGCAAUGGUCGGAAGACUGACCCAGCCAUGCCGCGUGCAGGAAGACGGCCCUCUGGGUUGUAAACUGCUUUUAUCUGGGAAGAAAAAGGCCAUGCGUGGCAAAUUGCCGGUACCAGAUGAAUAAGCACCGGCUAACUCCGUGCCAGCAGCCGCGGUAAUACGGAGGGUGCGAGCGUUGUCCGGAUUUAUUGGGUUUAAAGGGUGCGUAGGCGGCUGAUUAAGUCAGCGGUGAAAGACUUCGGCUUAACCGGAGCAGUGCCGUUGAUACUGGUUGGCUUGAGUGUCGGAGGGGUACAUGGAAUUGAUGGUGUAGCGGUGAAAUGUAUAGAUACCAUCAGGAACACCGAUAGCGAAGGCAUUGUACUGGCCGACAACUGACGCUGAUGCACGAAAGUGUGGGGAUCGAACAGGAUUAGAAACCCCUGUAGUCC